rnacentral:rRNA from 1 species
GAUGAACGCUGGCGGCGUGCCUAAUACAUGCAAGUCGAGCGAACGGACGAGAAGCUUGCUUUUCUGAUGUUAGCGGCUGACGGGUGAGUAACACGUGGAUAACCUACCUAUAAGACUGGGAUAACUUCGGGAAACCGGAUCUAAUACCGGAUAAUAUUUUGAACCGCAUGGUUCAAAAGUGAAAGACGGUCUUGCUGUCACUUAUAGAUGGAUCCGCGCUGCAUUAGCUAGUUGGUAAGGUAACGGCUUACCAAGGCAACGAUGCAUAGCCGACCUGAGAGGGUGAUCGGCCACACUGGAACUGAGACACGGUCCAGACUCCUACGGGAGGCAGCAGUAGGGAAUCUUCCGCAAUGGGCGAAAGCCUGACGGAGCAACGCCGCGUGAGUGAUGAAGGUCUUCGGAUCGUAAAACUCUGUUAUUAGGGAAGAACAUAUGUGUAAGUAACUGUGCACAUCUUGACGGUACCUAAUCAGAAAGCCACGGCUAACUACGUG